CCUACGGGAGGCAGCAGUGAGGCAUAUUGGUCAAUGGACGAGAGUCUGAACCAGCCAAGUAGCGUGAAGGAUGACUGCCCUAUGGGUUGUAAACUUCUUUUAUAAAGGAAUAAAACGAGGCACGUGUGCCUUUUUGCAUGUACUUUAUGAAUAAGGAUCGGCUAACUCCGUGCCAGCAGCCGCGGUAAUACGGAGGAUCCGAGCGUUAUCCGGAUUUAUUGGGUGUAAAGGGAGCGUAGAUGGGUUGUUAAGUCAGUUGUGAAAGUUUGUGGCUCAACCGUAAAAUUGCAAUUGAUACUGGGAGUCUUGAGUACAGUUGAGGUAGGCGGAAUUCGUGGUGUAGCGGUGAAAUGCUUAGAUAUCACGAAGAACCCCGGUUGCGAAGGCAGCUUACUAAACUGUGACUGACAUUGAUGCUCGAAAGUGUGGGUAUCAAACAGGAUUAGAUACCCUAGUAGUC
rnacentral:rRNA from 1 species